AUACACUGCUCAGACACCGCUUAGUAGAAAAAUUCUGCUUCCUGGAUGUAUCACCAGGCGCACACAGCUUUCCCACUAUCUUGAAGAUGGGAGGGGGGAAGGAGCGCAUUCCAAAGCCCAAGGUACAUGUCAAUGAGGGGGCUGCCGAGCUGCGCUGUUAGAUGAUUUCUUAAGUCAGCCUGAUGAAAAAGAAGUGUAAGAUUAACCCAUUGAAUGCUUGCUAUUGCUUCCCAGUAACCAAUAAAAAUGUAUCACAUUUAGUCACCUCCCAUCGGGAGGGGGGGAGAGGGUAUAUUCUGUGUGAACACUUACAAUUAA